UACAGAGGUCUCAAGCGUUGUUCGGAUUCAUUGGGCGUAAAGGGUGCGUAGGCGGCGCGGUAAGUCGGGUGUGAAAUCUUGGAGCUUAACUCCGAAACUGCAUUCGAUACUGCCGUGCUUGAGGACUGGAGAGGAGACUGGAAUUUACGGUGUAGCGGUGAAAUGCGUAGAUAUCGUAAGGAAGACCAGUGGCGAAGGCGGGUCUCUGGGCCGUAACUGACGCUGAGGAGCGAAAGCAUGGGGAGCGAACAGG
rnacentral:rRNA from 1 species